rnacentral:rRNA from 1 species
UUAGAUGUUGUGGGCCGCACGCGCGCUACACUGAUGCACUCAACGAGUUUUCUCCUUGGCCGAGAGGUCCGGGUAAUCUUUUGAAAUUGCAUCGUGAUGGGGAUAGAUUAUUGCAAUUAUUAAUCUUCAACGAGGAAUUCCUAGUAAGCGCAUGUCAUCAKCGUGCGUUGAUUACCUCCCUGCCCUUU